rnacentral:rRNA from 1 species
AUUGAACGCUGGCGGCAUGCCUUACACAUGCAAGUCGAACGGUAGAAGGAGCAAUCCUUCGAGAGUGGCGAACGGGUGAGUAAUACAUCGGAACGUACCUGGUAGUGGGGGAUAGCCCGGCGAAAGCCGGAUUAAUACCGCAUAAGACCUGAGGGUGAAAGCGGGGGACCGUAAGGCCUCGCGCUACCGGAGCGGCCGAUGUCAGAUUAGCUAGUUGGUGGGGUAAAAGCCUACCAAGGCGACGAUCUGUAGCUGGUCUGAGAGGACGACCAGCCACACUGGGACUGAGACACGGCCCAGACUCCUACGGGAGGCAGCAGUGGGGAAUUUUGGACAAUGGGCGCAAGCCUGAUCCAGCCAUGCCGCGUGCGGGAAGAAGGCCUCGGUUGUAACGACUUUGUCGGGUAGGAAGUACUACUGGACGUAAUACUACUGGGUGG